rfam:Gymnopus luxurians FD-317 M1 unplaced genomic scaffold GYMLTscaffold_12, whole genome shotgun sequence.
GGUAGCGUGGCCGAGUUGGUCUAAGGCGUUGGAUUUAAGUCCAUCACUGUAUUCUCAGUGCACUUGCUUCCCAAUGAAGGUGACUUCGCGCGAGUUCGAAUCUCGCCGCUACCA